UCCCUGGUAGUAUAUCGGUUAGUACACGCGCCUGUCAUCUAUUAAGGUUUGAUCGCGCGAAAGCGGGGUUCGACUCCCCGCCAGGGAG